UACGGAAGGCAGCAGUGGGGAAUAUUGCACAAUGGGCGCAAGCCUGAUGCAGCCAUGCCGCGUGUAUGAAGAAGGCCUUCGGGUUGUAAAGUACUUUCAGUCGUGAGGAAGGUGUUAAGGUUAAUAACCUUAGCAAUUGACGUUAGCGACAGAAGAAGCACCGGCUAACUCCGUGCCAGCAGCCGCGGUAAUACGGAGGGUGCGAGCGUUAAUCGGAAUUACUGGGCGUAAAGGGCACGCAGGCGGUUAAUUAAGUUGGAUGUGAAAUCCCCGGGCUUAACCUGGGAAUGGCAUUCAAGACUGGUUAGCUAGAGUCUUGUAGAGGGGGUAGAAUUCCAUGUGUAGCGGUGAAAUGCGUAGAGAUGUGGAGGAAUACCGGUGGCGAAGGCGGCCCCUGGGACAAGACUGACGCUCAUGUGCGAAAGCGUGGGGAGCGAAACAGGGAUUAGAUA
rnacentral:rRNA from 1 species